CGUCAACCGUCGCCAGAAAUCCUCAAUCGUCAGCACAUUAAGGAUGAUUCACAUGUAUCAUAGAAAAUAAAAUAACGUGAUGAAAAUUGACGACGCGGCUGCAUACGUAUUCUGUUGUUGCGUGGCGGCAAUGAUGGAGGUGGUGAGACGACACGACAUCCGAGUAAAAAUAUACACGCCGGCCGCGACGACAGGAUCGUCCGAGGGAUGGAAACAAAAUAGAAUAAUGGUUGAAAGCGAAACUCGUCGACUUGAUAGUAGUAGUGCCGGUGACGGUGACGGUGACGAUGCUGAUGCUGAUAGUGGUCGUGGUGGGACAGUAGACGAGAAACAUUUAAGAAGAAGAAGAUGAAGAAGAAAUAAGAGCAAAAGAAUGAAAUGUUGCCGGUUGGCGUCGGUCCUUGGUGUACAGGAAUGUUCUGCGUGGAGUUUGUUCAUCGCCAAGGAACGAGUAAAUUCAUGUUGGCAUUUGGAACAUGAGUAAAAGACCUUCCACGAAGCGAACCAUCUUCAUUGGUCCUGUUUAUAGCAGCCCACGCAGAGAAGGAUAUCUCAGCGUGUCUAGUGUUUCUACAUGCGGACAGGCGUGCGAGAGAUUAGAUCUAAGGACGCUCACGAGUGCUACACCGAUACGAGUGUUGAUCGUGAUCAAGAUGCCUGCAUUUUAUUCGAUUAUCCAUAGACAAGUCAGAUCCAACGGAAUGUAAGUAAAGAUUCACGCACGUCUUCACUUGGAGUUUGGUUGUGCUCGAGACAAAGGAUAUCGUGGGCCAUACGGACACGAAAUUCAGUUAAAGUCACUGCCAGAAACCGGCCAGGAUUAUGAACGACUCAUAUAUAUAGAUAUAGAUGUAGAUAUAAUAUAUAUAAAUAGAACAUACUAGGCAAGAGGAUAAAGAAGUGGUUUGAGUGGGAGACCACAGGGUUUAGUUGCUUUUAGUCUAGUUAUUUAUUUUUUUUCCACACUUGAGAAAAUAUUUUUUAUCUCCUCCAUCGUCCUGGAGCCCCGACUUCCUGCUCGAGCCUUCCAGCAGCUCCUUAAACACCCAGUAUAAAUUAAACCCAAUGACUCUAUCCAUGGUCUGUCCUCUGAAAAAUCGUAACCGCGGUCACCUUGGUCUUAAACCCGUAUGUUUAUUUUUUUUUUCACUCCUGCUCCUACCUCUUCACUGGCUAUAUUAUUUCUAACACGUUUAUGGUAGUUACCUGCCCCUGAUUAACAAUUUAUCUGUAAUAAUAUAAUUCCAUAUGAUAGUAUAGCAGGAUAGCUUACAGGCGCGAAGAGUACUCGGAGUUUAUAAAAGCCGAGUUUAUUUAAAAAAAAAAAAAAUAACCCGGUAAUAAUAAUGAAAAGAAAAAUAAAACAGACGAAGAAUGCACCGCGGCGUGUAGGUAGGACGACGUGUUGCCCGAGGGUGCCAACCGCAGGAUAAUAAUUUUAUAAUUGGGGGAAUUACUCUGGCUCGCCGGCUAAACGUACAGUCUGCUUGCGUUGUUGCUCUUCUUAUUACUCUUAUUUUUUUUUCUCGUAUGCUCUCUGGCGUGGGAGUACCCCGAUCCGGCUAGCAUUGCUUGAAUCUGAUGCUGAUCCAUGAACCAGCUAUCAUCCGCUCACUAUACUUCCAACUAUCAAUUUUUUAUUUUUUUUUCUACUCAAAUAUUAUUAUAUAUAAUAGCAAUAGUCGUAAUAAUAACGACAAUUACUAACAUCUGAUAUAUAUAUAAAUAUAUAAUAAUCAGCGAAAGUCCCUGGAAUGUAGUUUUUAAAAAAUAUUUUUUCGCGCGAGAGCCGGACAAAGUCACGAUUAUAUAAAAAUUUGCGCUUUCUUGAUCUAUGAUACUGAAGUUAGCCGACGUCUCAUAAUUUUUGGACU